rnacentral:rRNA from 1 species
AAUAUUGCGCAAUGGGGGCAACCCUGACGCAGCAACGCCGCGUGAGUGAGGAAGGUUUUCGGAUUGUAAAGCUCUGUCGAGCGGAAAGAAAUGCAUGAUGGCUAAUAUCCAUCAUGCUUGACGGUACCGCUAAAGGAAGCACCGGCUAACUCCGUGCCAGCAGCCGCGGUAAUACGGGGGGUGCAAGCGUUGUUCGGAAUUAUUGGGCGUAAAGAGCGUGUAGGCGGCUUGACAAGUCAGAUGUGAAAUCCCUGGGCUUAACCUAGGAAGUGCAUUUGAAACUGUCAGGCUUGAGUAAGGGAGAGGAAAGUGGAAUUCCUGGUGUAGAGGUGAAAUUCGUAGAUAUCAGGAGGAACACCGGUGGCGAAGGCGACUUUCUGGCCCUAUACUGACGCUGAGACGCGAAAGCGUGGGUAGCAAACAGGAUUAGA